ensembl:lncRNA CLCA4-AS1 CLCA4 antisense RNA 1
GGAGGACACAAAGAUGGCGAGCGACACAGGAUAGUCCUUAACAAUUAAGCGUGACUAAUUUUAAUAACAAAUGAGAAUAUGAUGUGACAUCCGUUCCAAAUCCUGUCGUUCCAAGUAACUUCUUAAGCAUCUUUCACGAUACAGCCUCUGCUUGAAAGGAAUUAAAACAGGUACAAGCAUGGAAGGAGACGUUGCUAUCAUAUUUCAAGAAUAAGAAAAUGCUGUUUUGUGUGGUUGUGCAGCAGGCAAUGAAAUGAGCUUACAUUCAAGCUUCCGUGUUUUACUGAAACAACAGUCACAGAUGCAGUAGAUGUUAAAGGUUGAAAGACGAGUGCAGUAAAAGCAUUAUGAGGACAAGAAGAAAACGUAAAUAUUUGUGUUGUUUCAUUCUUUGUUGUGGUGGCAGAAACAGCCCCCUCUUUCUAAGAUCUUUAUGUGGAAAAGCACUUACUCUCUUCCCAGAGCACUGUUUUUAAAAGUAAGGAAGGACUGAAAGGAGGAGAAACUAUGGGUUGCCUUUUCCUUCUGUCAUCUGUUCAGCAUUUCAUAGUAAAACCUUUGUUGAUUUAAUAAACAUAAUGGAUACUCAUUAAAAUAUUCAAACAGCAUAGAAAGGGACAAAGAAGAAAGCAGCCAGCAAUCCAAGUACCACUAUCCAGAAAUAGCCAGUGAUAUCUCUUUAUGUGUGGAAAUACAAUGAAAAUUGAGUGAGAGACAUACACAGAGGAAGAAGAAAAAGAAAGCAAUCAAACUCCAAAUGGUGCUGCAAACUGAACCCCACAUGGACACGCCAUUCUUCUGAGGACCCUUAGAUCCACCCCAGGAGGAGCCCUAGCUGCUGUUCCCCAUUCGAUGCCCCUUUUCAGCCAUUGUUCCAGUCUUCACUCUUAAAAAUAUGCUAUAGUGAGGGGAGGAGCCAAGAUGGCCGAAUAGGAACAGCUCCGGUCUACAGCUCCCAGCGUGAGCGACGCAGAAGACGGGUGAUUUCUGCAUUUCCAUCUGAGGUACCGGGUUCAUCUCACUAGGGAGUGCCAGACAGUGGGCGCAGGCCAGUGGGUGUGCGCACCGUGCGCGAGCCGAAGCAGGGCGAGGCAUUGCCUCACCUGGGAAGCGCAAGGGGUCAGGGAGUUCCCUUUCCGAGUCAAAGAAAGGGGUGAUGGACGCACCUGGAAAAUCGGGUCACUCCCACCCGAAUAUUGCGCUUUUCAGACCGGUUUAAGAAACGGCGCACCAUGAGACUAUAUCCCACACCUGGCUCAGAGGGUCCUACGCCCACGGAAUCUCGCUGAUUGCUAGCACAGCAGUCUGAGAUCAAACUGCAAGGCGGCAACGAGGCUGGGGGAGGGGCGCCCGCCAUUGCCCAGGCUUGCUUAGGUAAACAAAGCAGCCGGGAAGCUCGAACUGGGUGGAGCCCACCACAGCUCAAGGAGGCCUGCCUGCCUCUGUAGGCUCCACCUCUGGGGGCAGGGCACAGACAAACAAAAAGGCAGCAGUAACCUCUGCAGACUUAAGUGUCCCUGUCUGACAGCUUUGAAGAGAGCAGUGGUUCUCCCAGCACGCAGCUGGAGAUCUGAGAACGGGCAGACUGCCUCCUCAAGUGGGUCCCUGACCCCUGACCCCCGAGCAGCCUAACUGGGAGGCACCCCCCAGCAGGGGCACACUGACACCUCACACAGCAGGGUAUUCCAACAGACCUGCAGCUGAGGGUCCUGUCUGUUAGAAGGAAAACUAACAACCAGAAAGGACAUCUACACCGAAAACCCAUCUGUACAUCACCAUCAUCAAAGACCAAAAGUAGAUAAAACCACAAAGAUGGGGAAAAAACAGAACAGAAAAACUGGAAACUCUAAAACGCAGAGCGCCUCUCCUCCUCCAAAGGAACGCAGUUCCUCACCAGCAACAGAACAAAGCUGGAUGGAGAAUGAUUUUGACGAGCUGAGAGAAGAAGGCUUCAGACGAUCAAAUUACUCUGAGCUACGGGAGGACAUUCAAACCAAAGGCAAAGAAGUUGAAAACUUUGAAAAAAAUUUAGAAGAAUGUAUAACUAGAAUAACCAAUACAGAGAAGUGCUUAAAGGAGCUGAUGGAGCUGAAAACCAAGGCUCGAGAACUACGUGAAGAAUGCAGAAGCCUCAGGAGCCGAUGCGAUCAACUGGAAGAAAGGGUAUCAGCAAUGGAAGAUGAAAUGAAUGAAAUGAAGCGAGAAGGGAAGUUUAGAGAAAAAAGAAUAAAAAGAAAUGAGCAAAGCCUCCAAGAAAUAUGGGACUAUGUGAAAAGACCAAAUCUACGUCUGAUUGGUGUACCUGAAAGUGAUGUGGAGAAUGGAACCAAGUUGGAAAACACUCUGCAGGAUAUUAUCCAGGAGAACUUCCCCAAUCUAGCAAGGCAGGCCAACGUUCAGAUUCAGGAAAUACAGAGAACGCCACAAAGAUACUCCUCGAGAAGAGCAACUCCAAGACACAUAAUUGUCAGAUUCACCAAAGUUGAAAUGAAGGAAAAAAUGUUAAGGGCAGCCAGAGAGAAAGGUCGGGUUACCCUCAAAGGGAAGCCUAUCAGACUAACAGCAGAUCUCUCGGCAGAAACCCUACAAGCCAGAAGAGAGUGGGGGCCAAUAUUCAACAUUCUUAAAGAAAAGAAUUUUCAACCCAGAAUUUCAUUUCCAGCCAAACUAAGCUUCAUAAGUGAAGGAGAAAGAAAAUACUUUACAGACAAGCAAAUGCUGAGAGAUUUUGUCACCACCAGGCCUACCCUAAAAGAGCUCCUGAAGGAAGCACUAAACAUGGAAAGGAACAACCGGUACCAGCCGCUGCAAAAUCAUGCCAAAAUGUAAAGACCAUCGAGACUAGGAAGAAACUGCAUCAACUAAUGAGCAAAAUCACCAGCUAACAUCAUAAUGACAGGAUCAAAUUCACACAUAACAAUAUUAACUUUAAAUAUAAAUGGACUAAAUUCUGCAAUUAAAAGACACAGACUGGCAAGUUGGAUAAAGAGUCAAGACCCAUCAGUGUGCUGUAUUCAGGAAACCCAUCUCACGUGCAGAGACACACAUAGGCUCAAAAUAAAAGGAUGGAGGAAGAUCUACCAAGCAAAUGGAAAACAAAAAAAGGCAGGGGUUGCAAUCCUAGUCUCUGAUAAAACAG